AUGGCGGCGCCAUCUUCGUCACGCACGCAGGAGGAGAAGGAACUUGAGGAGAUGAUGGCUGAACUUGGGAUCGCUGAGGAGGAAUUUGAUGACCUAGUUUUCGAGGAUGAGAUGCCGGAUGCUGCUGCCAAUCCCCGCUGGCUUGUGAUAAGCAAGGUGCACACAUCUAAGGAGUAUGGUGACUUCUGGUUCUACAAGAACAUGAGGAGUGCGUGGGAUUUAGCGCAAACGGUGAAAUUCAUAUCUUUGGGUGACAAUCUAUAUAGUAUGCAAUUUUCUUGUUUGGGAGAUUGGAACAAGGUGAUGGAGGGUGGUCCGUGGGCCUUUAGAGGACAGCCGGUGGUGCUUGCGGUCUAUGAUGGAUUCACAAAACCAUCACUGAUUGAUUUGAACUGCUUCAAAAUCUGGAUCCAAAUACAUGAUCUGCCCGAUGGGUAUGGACCUUUGGUAAAACCUUUGGCCGCAAAGGUGGGGGCGUUGUGA
rnacentral:rRNA from 1 species